rnacentral:rRNA from 1 species
GACUCCGUUGGUGACCAGCGGAGGGAUCAUUA